rnacentral:rRNA from 1 species
GAUGAACGCUGGCGGCGUGCCUAAUACAUGCAAGUCGAGCGAACAGACGAGGAGCUUGCUCCUUUGACGUUAGCGGCGGACGGGUGAGUAACACGUGGGUAACCUACCUAUAAGACUGGGAUAACUUCGGGAAGCCGGAGCUAAUACCGGAUAAUAUUUCGAACCGCAUGGUUCGAUAGUGAAAGAUGGCUUUGCUAUCACUUAUAGAUGGACCUGCGCCGUAUUAGCUAGUUGGUAAGGUAACGGCUUACCAAGGCAACGAUACGUAGCCGACCUGAGAGGGUGAUCGGCCACACUGGAACUGAGACACGGUCCAGACUCCUACGGGAGGCAGCAGUAGGGAAUCUUCCGCAAUGGGCGAAAGCCUGACGGAGCAACGCCGCGUGAGUGAUGAAGGUCUUCGGAUCGUAAAACUCUGUUAUUAGGGAAGAAUAAACGUGUAAGUAACUGUGCACGUCUUGACGGUACCUAAUCAGAAAGCCACGGCUAACUACGUG